UAUCCAAUAUGAAAAAUUCAUCAUUAAUAAUAUAUUAAUUAAAAUUUAAUAUAUGAAUAGUGUGCAAUUUUUUCAUAAUAGGACAUUGUAAUCUAUUAAUCUAAUAUAUAAAAAUUUAUCAUAAGGUCUGUAUGAAUAGCUUAUUUUUAAUUUAACUUUUUUUUAAAAAGUUAAUGGAAUAAAAUUCAAAGCAGUACCAGAUAAAUGAUUGAUAGAUUUUUUCAUAUAUAACGCUUACAUUAUAAUAUGUUAUAAUAUUUUAAUAACUAUAUGUUAUUAUUAUUUAUUAUAUGCGUUUAUAUGAUUAACAAUGCGAUAGAUUUAGGAUACCUUCGGGACCCGUCUUGAAACACGGACCAAGAAGUCUAACAUAUGUGCAAGUCAUUGGGUAUAUAAAACCUAAAGGCAUAAUUNACUUAACUGUUAUUAAUGGGAUUAUUAUGUAUUUAUAUUAAAAUACAAAAUCCAUCCCGGGGCGUUCUAUACAGUUAUGUAUUUUGAUAUUUAUAUCAUAUAUACCUCUAACUAGAGCGUACCUUGAGCAUAUAUGUUGUGACCCGAAAGAUGGUGAACUA
rnacentral:rRNA from 1 species